rnacentral:rRNA from 1 species
UACGUAGGAGGCAAGCGUUGUCCGGAAUUACUGGGCGUAAAGGGUGCGUAGGUGGCGGGGCAAGUUUGGUGUGAAAUCCCGGGGCUCAACCCCGGAACUGCACUGAAUACUGCCUUGCUAGAGCACUGGAGAGGGAACUGGAAUUUACGGUGUAGCAGUGAAAUGCGUAGAUAUCGUAAGGAAGACCAGUGGCGAAGGCGAGUUCCUGGACAGUUGCUGACACUGAGGCACGAAGGCUAGGGGAGCAAACGGG